UCCUUGAAAUACCACCCUUUAAUGGCUGGUGUUCUAACGUGGGCCCGUAAUCCGGGUUGCGGACAGUGUCUGGUGGGUAGUUUGACUGGGGCGGUCUCCUCCUAAAGAGUAACGGAGGAGCACGAAGGUUAGCUAAUCCUGGUCGGACAUCAGGAGGUUAGUGCAAAGGCAUAAGCUAGCUUGACUGCGAGCGUGACGGCGCGAGCAGGUGCGAAAGCAGGUCUUAGUGAUCCGGUGGUUCUGAAUGGAAGGGCCAUCGCUCAACGGAUAAAAGGUACUCCGGGGAUAACAGGCUGAUACCGCCCAAGAGUUCAUAUCGACGGCGGUGUUUGGCACCUCGAUGUCGGCUCAUCACAUCCUGGGGCUGAAGUAGGUCCCAAGGGUAUGGCUGUUCGCCAUUUAAAGUGGUACGCGAGCUGGGUUUAGAACGUCGUGAGACAGUUCGGUCCCUAUCUGCCGUGGGCGCUGGAGAAUUGAGGGGGGCUGCUCCUAGUACGAGAGGACCGGAGUGGACGCAUCACUGGUGUUCGGGUUGUCAUGCCAAUGGCACUGCCCGGUAGCUAAAUGCGGAAGAGAUAAGUGCUGAAAGCAUCUAAGCACGAAACUUGCCCCGAGAUGAGUUCUCCCUGACCCUUUAAGGGUCCUGAAGGAACGUUGAAGACGACGACGUUGAUAGGCCGG
rnacentral:rRNA from 1 species